rnacentral:tRNA from 1 species
UAGCUCAGUUGGUAAAGAAUCUGCCUGCAGUGCAGGAGACCCGGGUUCGAUUCCUGG